UUUUUUUCAGAAUGUUUUUUCCUAAAAAUGUCAACUAGGUAGGACACGUUCAGUUAUUUCAGUAUAUAUUAGUUUACCGUAAUGUUAAUUUAAACUACAUAUUUAGUUUAUAUCUAUGCUAUAAUACUAUCCUGUUGCCAUUAUGUUAUUAGUUCAUAUAUAUAGGUAUGAUGAUAAAAAUUUAACUCAUUGGCCUACAAUCUAUUCUUUUUUCUUCUGAAGUCUGUUCUGUUUGCACUAUAGAUACUGAUAAGAAAGUGUUGUUACGCCUACUUACUUGUUUUAAGUGAACUCUAUUGCAUAUAUAAUAUGAAUGAAAUUUGAUAACACAAAACAAGACGUAUUAAGGAGUACCUGCGACCCUUUUUUUUUCCCGUCCCUUUAAGUGGCCAAACGCGUCUCGCCUUGAGCGUCAGCUAUUUUUAACACAUGUAUUAAUUUUACGGUUUUCAAAUUUUUGCUUAAAUAUGAUUUCAGAUACGUAAGGCGUUUUUGAGUAAGCUGAUAUGUAAUUAGUCCUCCUAAUUAUAUGACGACAUUUUAUAAAUGUUCCAAGUAACGAGGUAUCGAGUGCCACUGAAUGCUGUCCUGUUAUUUUAUUUUGAGCUAAACUACCACAUUCAGCAUCUCUACACUCGACCCGCGACCCCAAGAACCAGUGUUCUUCUACUCUAGACUUGGUAAUAUUAGUCCCUACAAUGCAAGUUACAUCGAUAGAGUGAAGCCAAGAGGAGAAAAAAUUAUAUUGAUAAAUAUUAUAAUAUAUAGAUAUAAUUUAAAAAAAUUCAAGAAAAAUCCAAAUCAUAUUGUUCACAUUCCAGUUUUCUUACGGCAGCAAAAAUGUAGCCGACGAGGCUACUCUAUGUAAUAAACUAUUUAUAUAUAUAAUCCUGGUCAUUCCGGCACCAAAAAAUGUACCUUACCCCAUCUACUACUAAACUAAUUAACUAAAAUUCAACCAGGAUUAAAUAAAAAUAGAAAAAUAAAUAAAUUUGGCCAUGUGAUCGUCUAGUGUAUUUACGUUGUGAACCUUAGUACCCUUCGUCUUUUAUGUGAAAACUGAUAUGAUUUGGGUUUUUCAAAACUAUCCCUAAAUAUCCUAUGAAUUUGUAAAUAUUCCUACAGUAUAUUUUUAUUAACUCUAUUGUUAGACAAAUAAAAAAAUAGUAAAUAAUAUAUAUUUUUUAGAAUUUAUCUCCUACCGGGCCCUACCGUGACCAGUUACCGUGAACAGUAGUAAGCCCUUUUUGUUUGUAAUUUAAAAACUUAUAUUUUCCUUUUAAUAUAUCUCUACGCUAACCUAGCUAGCUAAAGGAAAAUAUGUAUAUGUAACCAUUGUAACCAUAAGUAAAUAUAUUGCAAAGAAUAGUACGUACAAACAUACUUUAUCUACUGUCACGCCCGGAUGAAGACGGGUCUCUAAGCUAAUUAAUACCCAUUUUAUUUUAUUUUAUUUUUAAUAGGUAUUCCUAAGCACUAUGUAAUAUUACUCUACCAACGUUUCGUAACCUAAUUUCAGACGAGAAGAAACGCCAAGAAACUCAUCUGAAUGUACUAUUAAUGUAUGGAAUACUGAAAACAAUCGUCUAUUAAAUAUGACUUUAUUUACCCUUUAAUUCCCCAGUUAUAGAAAAGCUCAAUUGUCACUAGUGAACUGCUCCGCCUGUCACUAGCUCCCUAUAACAAAAUUAUUUAGUAUGUCCUCAAAUAACUUUGUUCCCCUAUCUCACCCAAUGUAAAAAUAUAUAAACCUUCAAUCAUAUUUAAUGUACGAGCCUCAGUAACCCAUCCAUAUGCUACUGAAAAUAGAUUUUAAUUUAUUUUGUAAUUAAAAACAGUUAAAACUCUAAUGAUUUUAGUUUUGUAUACAAUCAAACUAAAUGUGAAAGAAAAUAAAUAAACCUAACACCCAAAUAA